AGUUCAUUUUGGGGACAAUUUCUCAACAAUCCCUUAUAGAGCUCCCAUGCCUCAUAAAGUGACUCACCCGAAUUUUUGCUCAAAAUUUGCUAUUGCCUUUUUGAGUUU